UGCUCAGGACGAACGCUGGCUGCGUGCUUAACACAUGCAAGUCGAACGCUGAAGCCGACAGCUUGCUGUUGGUGGAUGAGUGGCGAACGGGUGAGUAACACGUGAGUAACCUGCCCCUGAUUUCGGGAUAAGCCUGGGAAACCGGGUCUAAUACCGGAUACGACCACCUGACGCAUGUNGGGUGGUGGAAAGUUUUUCGAUCGGGGAUGGGCUCGCGGCCUAUCAGCUUGUUGGUGGGGUAAUGGCCCACCAAGGCGACGACGGGUAGCCGGCCUGAGAGGGCGACCGGCCACACUGGGACUGAGACACGGCCCAGACUCCUACGGGAGGCAGCAGUGGGGAAUAUUGCACAAUGGGGGAAACCCUGAUGCAGCGACGCAGCGUGCGGGAUGACGGCCUUCGGGUUGUAAACCGCUUUCAGCAGGGAAGAAGCGAAAGUGCGGUACCUG
rnacentral:rRNA from 1 species